ensembl:piRNA 21ur-11541 ncRNA
UGUUAACUUUGAUUUUCUAAG